ACUACGGGACGCAGCAGUGGGGAAUAUUGCACAAUGGGCGGAAGCCUGAUGCAGCGACGCCGCGUGAGGGAUGACGGCCUUCGGGUUGUAAACCUCUUUCAGUAGGGAAGAAGCGCAAGUGACGGUACCUGCAGAAGAAGCGCCGGCUAACUACGUGCCAGCAGCCGCGGUAAUACGUAGGGCGCAAGCGUUGUCCGGAAUUAUUGGGCGUAAAGAGCUCGUAGGCGGUCUGUCGCGUCUGCUGUGACAGCCCGGGGCUCAACCCCGGGUCUGCAGUGGGUACGGGCAGACUAGAGUGCAGUAGGGGAGACUGGAAUUCCUGGUGUAGCGGUGAAAUGCGCAGAUAUCAGGAGGAACACCGAUGGCGAAGGCAGGUCUCUGGGCUGUUACUGACGCUGAGGAGCGAUAGCAUGGGGAGCGAACAGGAUUAGAUACCCUGGUAGUCCAUGCCGUAAACGUUGGGCACUAGGUGUGGUGGACAUUCCACGUUCUCCGCGCCGUAGCUAACGCAUUAAGUGCCCCGCCUGGGGAGUACGGCCGCAAGGCUAAAACUCAAAGGAAUUGACGGGGGCCCGCACAAGCGGCGGAGCAUGCGGAUUAAUUCGAUGCAACGCGAAGAACCUUAC
rnacentral:rRNA from 1 species